CCGAGUCUGUGCAACCCUGCCAGAGAUACUAGGGAGGCGAAUAGAGCAUCGAUCAGAGAUGGUGCUGUUCUGCAGCUGAUGAAGCGCUGCUGAGAGUUACUCUGGCAGAGGGGCUGAUGGACAGCCAGUUAUACCUCUGUAAGACCCCAG